UGAAAGUAAGACAGAGAAGACUAGAGGUGAGACAUGAUCAUUACUGAUUACUGAUGACAGAUUUAGAUAUAACACUAUAUUUACACCCUGAGUUUGCCUUUGCCCUUUGUCACGUUGUACCUCCUCAUGUGUUCAGGUCUCUCCGCGUUUCAAGUGUUAGCCCCGUGUUUUCUAGUUUCCUGGAGUUGCAGUUUUCUUUUCCCAGUGUUUUUGUUUCGAGUUUCCCUUUCUCUUAGAUUAGCUUGUUUUGUGCUCUUAUGUUUUUUGGACUUUUUUUUUUUCCAGCAAUAAAGCUGAAGCUUUAAGUUCAUCUUUUGUGUUUGAGUUCUGCUUUUGGGUCCACCUCCUUCCUGCCGGCCUCAGCUCCACAUGCCAAAAACAUUUAAGGUGUCAGUAAUAAGGAGUCCCACACCGACCCACUAACGAUCUCAUAGGGAUGGCACUCCUGCUUCUCGGGUGGUCGUUCCCAUAAACCUAAAUGCUGAGGGUUCAGGCAGGCACUACGGGACAACAUGCCUGAGAUACCGGUGAAAUUUGAGCUUUGCAAAGUGAACGGACAGUGGCUCAUUCUUCCGCUUAAAGACGAGACACCCAGAGAAAUUAGAACCAGAAACCUUCUGGGUCACUCUAAUCUUUAUAUCCGUCCAAAGAUUACAGAAGUCAGUGAGGACUCAACUGGUGGUCAAGUUGUGCAGCCUGAAAUGCCGAAGUAUGUAUUUUUUUUUUCUACACUUUUUUCUUUUAUGUUCCUUAGUUUGAUCUGCCCAAGUCCUGCAUUUGGGUGCUCUUCCUGCUAUGAAAUAUGAUGCUGUUAUUCCACUGCAGUGUUCUGCGUGAAACCCAGACAGCUGACCACAGUAGGUAUGGCCUCCAGGAACCAGAGGUUAACAGGCAAGUGGUGGUUCUUAUUAAGUAACAUUCCAAAACUUCAGCAUCAACUGUAACUCAAACAACACAGCAGAUGUAAAUAUUGACAAUCAAAAAGUCAAAUAAUUAUAAUGGGGGGAGACCUAAGAAGUUUGAAAAUGUAAGGGUUACAAGUAUUGAACUAAUAUUCUGAAUCUCCCCCCAUGGUUUUUGAUUACCUCCCUCUGUUUCUGUUUAGCUUUUCAACAUAUCUUACAUGGCAUUUCUUCACUCGUUCUUUUUGUGCCACAGUUGGUGAUAUUGGUAUUUUUACUUGCUGAAAAUACAUGGAUAAUACUUUAGUCAGUUUGACCAUUCAGAAAUUUGGUACUACAAACCACCCAAACUAUUCAGAGUAAACAAUUCUUCAUUUACCCAUUUCAGUCUAAUCGCAUAAACGGAUACAAUCAUUACAAUCAAGGACCGGCCAAGGAGCCCGCGUGGUCUUGUCAAGGACCAGGUAGCAAUUUUAAGUGGCUGUAUCUGUACAUAAUGUAAAACAAUGUGAAAUCACAUUAUGAGAUGAGUCAUUCCAUUUCAAUAUUUGUACAUGAUUUUAAAAAAAUCAAACACAUCUGUGUUCUGUUUAGGGAAGAGUUUUAAAUUGACUCUCAGAGUCUGAAGUACCUGAUGUGGAUGACGCUGUCCUGGCUUCCCACAAAUAAAAUGAUUCCAAUGUAUGUGUAAUGAACAACAUCCACCAUAACUGCUGUAUCUAUGUAUAAUGUGUUUCACCAUGUGGUCGUGACCAGAUGUGUUUUUUCCCCCCCCCUUCUUCAGAAUGAGAUGGACGUUGCCACGGUGCUCAAAGAUUUCCAGCAAACCCAUAUAGACACCAGCAACUCUUUUGCCGUAAUUGCUUGACGCCGGGAAAUCCUCCAUAGUGCCUGCAUGGCACUCUCAAAAUGUUGCCAAAUACUGAAUUUGUGGGUGAAAUGGCAGAUGAUUAUGGAGGCCCAAGGCGGGAGUUUUUUCGGUUACUUAUGGUAGAAGCUCAGAAUUCACUUUGGAUUUUUGUUCAACUACAGUCAAAAUUUGCUGUCAAGCAAUAAAUUCUAUACAGCAGGAAAACUGCCUGCUUGGUCUAUUGGCCUUCGCUGUAUCAACAGACAUCUUCAUGGAUGAUGACAUUAAAUGCAACAGAAAAGGUUUCCAACUGCAGCACCCCACAAGACCUGGCAGGGUUGAAGAGUCACCUUGGGGACUGGAUCACAGGCUGUGGUAUCCCAGACAUCUUCACUGCCACACUGCUGGACCUUAAGAGAAUAAGGGGGUUGCCAGCAUGAUCCAGCAGUUUGUUGAUUACAUGGAUUCAUGUGGUCAGUUCUGGCAAAUGGUGAAAAGAUUCUGGAAGCAGUUCCUUCCUGUAUUUACAAAUGCUGGACAUAAGCUUACGAGGAACGGUUUCCAGAAUCUCUUCACCAUUGACUGGAGUCCUGCAGGGAGUAACAAACAUUAAGAAGAGGAAGCCACCAUCUCUCAGUGGGAAUGGUAGCUUAUGGCCAUUCAAGAAUGGAUAAAAAGAAAAAAUAUAAUGUUCAAGAUGCGCUGGAGUUUAUCACUGCAGAGGACAGUGAGUAUGAGGGAUGUGAAAGUAGCUCAGAUGAAGAUUCUGAAGACCCUAAUUACAUCCCCCACAAAGACGUGGAGAGUGAUGAAUCAAGUGAAUCCAGUGAUUCAGACAGUUGUGAUUCAAGUGAUUUAGAGACAGAGCCACAUUCAAGCCAUAUGGACACUGGGCAGCCCAAGGCAGCUAUCAAAGGACAAAAAUUCUCCUGGAGAAAGAAAACGUUCGAAACCCCUGAGACCACAUUCAAGGGACCAUGUGCCAAACCUCCAGAUGAGAUCCACACUCCACUGGAGUACUUCAAAAACUUCAUCACAAAUGAUAUGCUGCUGUUGUUAAUGGAACAAACAAAUUUAUGUAGUGUACAAAAAUCCAACCAUCUGAGAAAUGUAAAUACCACUGUUAAAGAACUAGAAAUACUCAUUGGUCUCCAUCUGAGGAUGGGUCUAUGCCAAAUGCCUGGAAAUCGAGCAUACUGGGAAAAAAUAUAUAUGAGUCAUUUGAUAUAACUUACAACCCCCGUAAUUUUCAUGAAAGUAGAAAUAGGUCUGGGUUCUUAAGGGAUACAGGAGAAAAUGAAUUGACCUUUUAGAUAAUUUAAGUAUUAUAAUUGAAGGAAACAUUCUGCAGCAAUUCUUUUUUCAAAAUGAUUGGUUUUAUCUUCUGUCCCCUGUAGUGGACAUUAGGGCUUGCUUGCUCACAGAAUAAUAGAAUUUAAUAUAAUUUGAUUUUCAUUGAGAUUUCUGGUAAAACUUGAUGUCCUCGUGACGGGACUGAAGGAAUAAAACACAUUGCAUAAAGGGUGCUUGAUAUGCAGGUCUCAGACUGAGGACAAAAUGAAUUGCUGGGUCUUAGGAGGCUGGGAUUGCUUUGAGGAGCAAAUGUUUGGUUUCAUUAUACAAUGCUUUGCAAAGACUUGCAAUACUGGUUUUGCCUAAAGGCCUACAUUUGUAACCAAAGUGAAUUGAGCCUCUAUAAAAAAAAAUGGCUCCUAAAUUGUCAUUAAGGCAACCUGUAACACUGAAGCGCUAAUGAAUUAAUACAUGCUUGGUAUUAAGUGAAAUAUUGGGUUAUUAUUAGUCAGAAGAUUUAGGAAUGGCUACUGGAGCUGAUGGGCAGUAAUUAAUCAAUACAGACAACACAAAAUGCUUUUGCAGGUACCAUGUAUGUCAAAAGAUUUCAGGAUUUUGGGAUUUUUAUUAUUAUUUUAUUUUAUUACUUUAUCUUUUGCUCUUUAUGUUUAUGUUUG